GAUGAAGAACGCAGCGAAAUGCGAUAAGUAGUGUGAAUUGCAGAAUUCCGUGAAUCAUCGAAUCUUUGAACGCACAUUGCGCCUUCUGGUAUUCCGGAAGGCAUGCCUGUUCGAGAGUCAUUAACAACCGUUUCGAUCCCUUUCUUUCAGAAAUUACAAAGAGGAAAAGGGUUUGGUUAUGGUGGAGGAGGGAAAGGGAGCGUUUAGCCUGUAAAAAAAGAGGCUGUGUUCCGCCUCCCCCCCAAAAUUGUACAGGCGGUCGUGUGCGCCCACGCAUCGAGGUGUUGUAAAAGCUGCCACGGCACUUUUCACCUGUGCAGUGCGAGAUUGGCCAGCCGGUUUAAAAACCCCUCCAAACAAUCAAAGGUUGACCUCGGAUCAGGUAGGGAUACCCGCUGAACUUAAGCAUAUCAAAAAGCGGAGGA
rnacentral:misc_RNA from 1 species